rnacentral:misc_RNA from 1 species
UACGGAGGAUCCAAGCGUUAUCCGGAAUCAUCGGGUUUAAAGGGUCCGUAGGCGGUCUUAUAAGUCAGUGGUGAAAACACCUAGCUCAACUAGGAAACUGCCAUUGAUGCUGUAAGACUUGAAUUUUUGUGAAGUAACUAGAAUAUGUAGUGUAGCGGUGAAAUGCUUAGAUAUUACAUGGAAUGCCAAUUGCGAAGGCAGGUUACUAACAAACGAUUGACGCUGAUGGACGAAAGCGUGGGGAGCGAACAGG